rnacentral:rRNA from 1 species
CGUAGGGUGCGAGCGUUAAUCGGAAUUACUGGGCGUAAAGUGUGCGCAGGCGGCGUUGCAAGUCGAGUGUGAAAGCCCCGGGCUUAACUUGGGUAUUGCGCUCGAAACUACGAUGCUGGAGUGUGGCAGAGGAAGGUGGAAUUCCACGUGUAGCGGUGAAAUGCGUAGAGAUGUGGAGGAACACCAAUGGCGAAGGCAGCCUUCUGGGCCAACACUGACGCUCAUGCACGAAAGCGUGGGGAGCAAACAGGAUUAGAUACCCUGGUAGUCCACGCCCUAAACGAUGAUGACUAGUUGUUGGGGGAGUUAAAUCCCUUAGUAACGCAGCUAACGCGCGAAGUCAUCCGCCUGGGGAGUACGGUCGCAAGAUUA